rnacentral:rRNA from 1 species
GUGCUUGCACAGAAUGAUUAGUGGCGAACGGGUGAGUAACACGUGAGUAACCUGCCCUUGACUCUGGGAUAAGCCUGGGAAACUGGGUCUAAUACCGGAUAUGCACCGUGGACCGCAUGGUUCUUGGUGGAAAGAUUUUUUGGUCAGGGAUGGACUCGCGGCCUAUCAGCUUGUUGGUGAGGUAAUGGCUCACCAAGGCGACGACGGGUAGCCGGCCUGAGAGGGUGACCGGCCACACUGGGACUGAGACACGGCCCAGACUCGUACGGGAGGCAGCAGUGGGGAAUAUUGCACAAUGGGCGAAAGCCUGAUGCAGCGACGCCGCGUGAGGGAUGACGGCCUUCGGGUUGUAAACCUCUUUCAGUAGGGAAGAAGCGAAAGUGACGGUACCUGCAGAAGAAGCGCCGGCUAACUACGUGCCAGCAGCCGCGGUAAUACGUAGGGCGCAAGCGUUAUCCGGAAUUAUUGGGCGUAAAGAGCUCGUAGGCGGUUUGUCGCGUCUAUCGUGAAAGUCCGAGGCUCAACCUCGGAUCUGCGGUGGGUACGGGCAGACUAGAGUGAUGUAGGGGAGACUGGAAUUCCUGGUGUAGCGGUGAAAUGCGCAGAUAUCAGGAGGAACACCGAUGGCGAAGGCAGGUCUCUGGGCAUUAACUGACGCUGAGGAGCGAAAGCAUGGGGAGCGAACAGGAUUAGAUACCCUGGUAGUGCAUGCCGUAAACGUGGGGCACUAGGUGUGGGGGACA